rnacentral:misc_RNA from 1 species
ACUUCUCAAUCAUUCUGGCUUGAAUUAGCCCGUCUGACUUGGAUUAUGGAUGUUGCAGGUUUCUUCAAACUCUGCUCGUCUGAAAUACAUUAGCAUAAGUUUAUCAAUCACUUAUCUCAUUGGUAUGAUAAUUGUUUAUACUACCACUGAUGUGUUUGACUUGAGCUUCAAAUGGUUUGCUCAGCAAACAGUUAAAUGAAAA